CUGUGCUUGUGAGUGUGACCGUGGCAGAGGGGAGAAUGGGCCACAGAGUUCAGAAAGAUGGGGCGUGGUUCAGCCCACCAGUGACACAGCAGCAAACUUAAUACCCAUCUUUGCUGCGAGGUCAAAACAAACAGCAAGAUGGAGAAAUGAGGGCCCAUCAGGAGUAGACAACAAGCUGAAACACCUAAUGGACCGGUGUGACGCUGAGAAGAGGCCUUGAGCCCUUGCUGGGAGCCUCAGGGCUCUGUCUGUGUUUUUCAAGGUUGGAAUGAGAGCUGUAGAGAAGACACAACCGUUUUCCUCUGCUGCCUUUCUCCCGCUCCUCAUUCUUCCUCAAUUUGUGUCUUUUUCCUGUGGAUAUAAACUAAAGAUGAAAAU